GACGAACGCUGGCGGCGUGCUUAACACAUGCAAGUCGAACGAGACGAUUGAAAGCUUGCUUUCGAAAGUCGAGUGGCAAACGGGUGAGUAACGCGUAGACAACCUGCCUUUGAGAUGGGGACAACAGUUCGAAAGGACUGCUAAUACCGAAUGUUGUAUAUUUUCCACAUGGAAGAUAUAUUAAAGAUGGCCUCUAUUUAUAAGCUAUCGCUCAAAGAUGGGUCUGCGUCUGAUUAGCUGGUUGGUGGGGUAACGGCCUACCAAGGCGACGAUCAGUAGCCGGUCUGAGAGGAUGAACGGCCACAUUGGGACUGAGACACGGCCCAGACUCCUACGGGAGGCAGCAGUGGGGAAUCUUCCACAAUGGACGAAAGUCUGAUGGAGCAACGCCGCGUGAGUGAAGAAGGGUUUCGGCUCGUAAAGCUCUGUUGUCGGGGACGAAUGUGCAGUAUUUGAAUAAAGUACUGUAAUGACGGUACCUGACGAGGAAGCCACGGCUAACUACGUGCCAGCCGCCGCGGUAA
rnacentral:rRNA from 1 species